AUCUAUUUGUAUAACAACAUAGGUAGGGUUUAAUUCACACUGAUACAUCUAUUUGUAUAACAACAUAGGUAAGGUUUAAUUCACACUGAUACAUCUAUUUGUAUAACAACAUAGGUAAGGUUUAAUUCACACUGAUACAUCUAUUUCUAUAACAACAUAGGUAGGGUUUAAUUCACACUGAUACAUCUAUUUGUAUAACAAAAUAGGUAGGGUUUAAUUCACACUGAUAUAUCUAUUUGUAUAACAACAUAGGUAGGGUUUAAUUCACAGUGAUACAUCUAUUUGUAUAACAAAAUAGGUAGGGUUUAAUUCACACUGAUACAUCUAUUUGUAUAACAACAUAGGUAGGGUUUAAAUCAGAAAAGCUCUAUUCUUUCUUUGGACAGCUAUGCAACUUUUUUUUAUAUACACAACAUAUAUUAUUGCUCAUCACAUUUCAUUAUAUAUCAAUACACACAGUUGUGUGCCAUGUGGACAAAACAACCUGCAGGACACACUACGUCUUGUUAACAGAAGUAAUAGUUUAGCAGUUUUUCACUUUCCGUAGCUCAGACUGGAAAUCAAAAUUAUCACAUAUUUUCAGUGUAUUUCUACUGGAACCUUAUUUCAUGUACCAAAUUUCAAGGCAAAAUCCAUUAAGAAAUACACAAGAUAUAAAAUCUCCAAUUUUGAUU